rnacentral:lncRNA from 1 species
UAAUUCUUAUAGCGUAAAAGUUAAUUAUAUUCAUAUAUACUAUAAAGCAAAUAACCAAAGCAUAAAAUUUCUUUUACAGUGACACUUGGGCCCACAUCUAACCAAAAUGCAUCGAAAGCUGAAAACCUACAGCUUUUACCGAUUCGAGUCCAAAUGAAGGUCCUUGUCAAAGUCAGCUAACUAUGGAAUUUCCCGAGCCUAAAAUAUGAGGAAAUGAGGGUGGUGAGAUUAUAAAAUCCCAGUGAGUAAAUAGAUACCAUCUAAACUAUCUAAAGUCGAGUAAAUGGAGACAAUUAAAAUAAGUCAUCAUAUUGUAAUUUCAUUACCUUUCAACUCAUUUCAACCAAAUAAAAUCAAUCCAUAUAAAUUGAGUAAUCAACUUGGCUUAUGAAUUUCUUAAAACUUUGGCUCAUGCCAAAACUCAUACUCGGUGAUACCUUGCGCAGGGCAUCCAAUCAAGUUCGCCAAGGCUAUUAAAAUUUUUGUAUACACUUAAAAUAUAUUUUUAGUUUGAGAAAAAUACAGUCGUUCCUUGGCGUUGGCUAAGUUCCCUUUCACGUGGUGGUUUGGCGUGAAGUGAACCCUAAGCUUUACCUCAGGAGAUACCCUACGCGCCUCUCCGUUCAAGGUAAGAAUAUAAUGGAGUUUACCGUGCCCCUCUAAUAGGCUGGCCCAUGGAACCCCCUCUGCAGUGAAUAAUUAAUAUAUACUCCACCAAUCAAUAAAAUUCAUUCUAGCAUGACAUGAUAAUUUAUCGCAACCUAGCCUCUCAAGGCUGAAUACACAAUACAAAUAAUUCUGACACCAAAAUCAAUUUAGCCAUUCAUGCUCAUAUAUUGUCAUAAGCCAUUCAAUUUAAAACCAUAAAUUUACAAUACAAGCAGGCAGUCUCCAAUUACUCUAUUUUCAAAAUCAGUAUUCGAUUUUUCCAGAAAAUUUAUAAAAUCAUUUUAUAAAAUCGUAAUUUCUCUUAAAACAUAGCAAUUUACCAUUUAAACUCAUUUUUUUAUAAAAUCACACAAUUGUAUAAAACUACUCUAGAUAAUUAAGACGAGAAUAAGUUCACUCACAGUUCUAGGAGUCGAUGUACUCCUAAUCUCAGUCUCCAAGCACAAUCUUUGUACUUUUACCAGUGUACUUUGCUCACCACCUAUCCACAAUGUACAAUACAUAAUUCACCACAUCAAUGCUUGACCAUUAUAAAAUCAAUUCAGGCUCGGUAUAUAUGCAUGAUAUGAUAUACAACUUAUCCGACUACCGCUUAAAUGCGGUGCUGACCUAAUUCGGCCUAUUACCCGAUUAAAUUACUAACGCGUCCAAUUUAAUCUCAAAUUAAUUUUUUUCAGUUUCUAUACCUCAAUUGCACCCAAAUUGACUUAAUGUCCCUCAGUGUGGUGCAAAUUAUCAGUCCCAACAGCAAAUUACGAAAAUACCCCUAGUGGGUAAAAAUUCGUAUUUUUGCUCCGAAAAUUCCCAUUAUUUUUCUAGGCUCAUAAUUCAUCAUUCCUUAACCAAUUCUCCUAGAAUAAAAUCAAACUCAUCCUCACUCACUACAUGGUAAAUUCAGCCAUUAAUGGUUGGGGGAGAAAAUAAAUUCUUUUCUUGUUGUUUUGUUUCUAAAUAUGCUAAACUAACUAAAAACACUAACAUAAAUUAAAAUCAAAUAAAUCCAACAACUUUCUCUCUCCUAACCCAUUUUUUCAGAAUUGAAUUCAUCAUGAAAACAUGUAAUUUAAUCAUGGAAAAUAAAGAGAAAUGCUUGGGAAUAAGAAAACUCAAGCUUAAUAGAAAAAAUCUCACCUUUUUCACUUAAUUUCCUUGAAAAUUCACACUUUUUCUUUGAUUUUCUCUCUCCAGGGUUUUGUUUUUGUUUUCUCUCUCUUCU